CCUACGGGAGGCAGCAGUGGGGAAUCUUGGACAAUGGGGGAAACCCUGAUCCAGCCAUGCCGCGUGAGUGAAGAAGGCCUUCGGGUUGUAAAGCUCUUUUGUCAGGGACGAUAAUGACGGUACCUGAAGAAUAAGCCCCGGCAAACUUCGUGCCAGCAGCCGCGGUAAUACGAAGGGGGCUAGCGUUGUUCGGAUUUACUGGGCGUAAAGCGCACGUAGGUGGAUUGUUAAGUGAGAGGUGAAAUCCCAGGGCUCAACCCUGGAACUGCCUUUCAUACUGGCAAUCUUGAGUUCGGAAGAGGUGAGUGGAAUUCCAAGUGUAGAGGUGAAAUUCGUAGAUAUUUGGAAGAACACCGGUGGCGAAGGCGGCUCACUGGUCCGAUACUGACACUGGGGUGCGAAAGCGUGGGGAGCAAACAGGAUUAGAUACCCUGGUAGUCCACGCCGUAAACUAUGAGUGCUAGCCGUUGGGAAGCUUGCUUUUCAGUGGCGCAGCUACGCAUAAGUACACUCCGCCGUCGGGGUAGGUACGGUCGGCGAAGAGUUAAACGUACAAAUAGAAGUUAGACGGCGUGUAGACGUUGCCGAACGGACGACGACGAGGGGAGGUUAGG
rnacentral:rRNA from 1 species